rnacentral:ncRNA from 1 species
UUUAACGAGAGUUUGAUCCUGGCUCAGGAUGAACGCUGGCGGCGUGCUUAACACAUGCAAGUCGAGCGAAACACUUAGAUCUGAUUUCUUCGGAAUGAAGAACUUUGUGAUUGAGCGGCG